CCGGCGUGCCCUCCACCUGUGCAGAAAGGAGAGUGCCAUGCUAAUUUCAUCAGAAAGGAGCAGUGUUCAUUUAGUUGGGACUGGGGUCCUUCUUUUCCCACUCAAGGAAUCUGGAAAGAUGUUAGGAUUGAGGCCUAUAACCAUUAUCACCUGAUUUACUUUUCUUUGACUUCUUCCUUUGUAAAGAGUGCUCAGCAGUGGAGUCUUGAAAUUGAGUCUAUUUUUGAUGUAGUCAGCUCCAAGCCAAUUGCAGGUAUUGUGACUGUGCACAUUCCCAAAUUGCAAACGCAGAAAACAUUCAGUGUGAAGCUUCAACCUGGAGAAGGCAGUGUUGUGCUGCUUGUAAACAUCAACAAG